ACCGUUGUUCUGCUGCCACCUGGAAAUCCUCCCAGAGCUCAAAGCCUGCUGCUCUGGGCAAAGCUGACAAGGAAGGACAGAUUCAGCAGCCAACCAAGGAGCAUACCUUCAUUUGAUUUCCUUAAGGCAAAAGCACUGGCUAAACAAAGGGAGACUAUCUGGGAGAAGGUGUUUUCACCCUUUCAAGCUGGGGUGCUUUCACCACCGGGAAGUGCCACGCUGCUUUCCACGCUGGAACAAGGACUCACUUCCUAAGGCCUUGGUUCCCCAGGAGCUGUUGGCCAGAAGCCUCCCUCGGUGCCCUGCCUCAUGGGCCUCUUCGUUGAGCAUCUCACAACGUGGCAGCUUACUUCAUCAGUGCAAGCAAGCAAGAGCAAGAGAGAGGACUCACCAGAGACAGUAAUAGCAAAACAGAAGGCACAGUCUUUCGUAAUCCAAUCACAGAUGUGACAUCCCAUCACUGUUGCCACAUCCUGUGAGUUAGAAAUGGUGGAGCCUUACUCUGUCGCUCAGGCUGGAGUGCAGUGGCGAGAUCUC
rnacentral:lncRNA from 1 species